rnacentral:rRNA from 1 species
CGCAAGCAGGGCUAUAAUGCAGUCGAGCGACAGAUAAGGAGCUUGCUCCUUUGACGUUAGCGGCGGACGGGUGAGUAACACGUGGGUAACCUACCUAUAAGACUGGGAUAACUUCGGGAAACCGGAGCUAAUACCGGAUAACAUUUGGAACCGCAUGGUUCUAAAGUGAAAGAUGGUUUUGCUAUCACUUAUAGAUGGACCCGCGCCGUAUUAGCUAGUUGGUAAGGUAACGGCUUACCAAGGCGACGAUACGUAGCCGACCUGAGAGGGUGAUCGGCCACACUGGAACUGAGACACGGUCCAGACUCCUACGGGAGGCAGCAGUAGGGAAUCUUCCGCAAUGGGCGAAAGCCUGACGGAGCAACGCCGCGUGAGUGAUGAAGGGUUUCGGCUCGUAAAACUCUGUUAUUAGGGAAGAACAAAUGUGUAAGUAACUGUGCACAUCUUGACGGUACCUAAUCAGAAAGCCACGGCUAACUACGUGCCAGCAGCCGCGGUAAUACGUAGGUGGCAAGCGUUAUCCGGAAUUAUUGGGCGUAAAGCGCGCGUAGGCGGUUUCUUAAGUCUGAUGUGAAAGCCCACGGCUCAACCGUGGAGGGUCAUUGGAAACUGGGAAACUUGAGUGCAGAAGAGGAAAGUGGAAUUCCAUGUGUAGCGGUGAAAUGCGCAGAGAUAUGGAGGAACACCAGUGGCGAAAGCGACUUUCUGGUCUGUAACUGACGCUGAUGUGCGAAAGCGUGGGGAUCAAACAGGAUUAGAUACCCUGGUAGUCCACGCCGUAAACGAUGAGUGCUAAGUGUUAGGGGGUUUCCGCCCCUUAGUGCUGCAGCUAACGCAUUAAGCACUCCGCCUGGGGAGUACGACCGCAAGGUUGAAACUCAAAGGAAUUGACGGGGACCCGCACAAGCGGUGGAGCAUGUGGUUUAAUUCGAAGCAACGCGAAGAACCUUACCAAAUCUUGACAUCCUUUGAAAACUCUAGAGAUAGAGCCUUCCCCUUCGGGGGACAAAGUGACAGGUGGUGCAUGGUUGUCGUCAGCUCGUGUCGUGAGAUGUUGGGUUAAGUCCCGCAACGAGCGCAACCCUUAAGCUUAGUUGCCAUCAUUAAGUUGGGCACUCUAGGUUGACUGCCGGUGACAAACCGGAGGAAGGUGGGGAUGACGUCAAAUCAUCAUGCCCCUUAUGAUUUGGGCUACACACGUGCUACAAUGGACAAUACAAAGGGCAGCUAAACCGCGAGGUCAUGCAAAUCCCAUAAAGUUGUUCUCAGUUCGGAUUGUAGUCUGCAACUCGACUACAUGAAGCUGGAAUCGCUAGUAAUCGUAGAUCAGCAUGCUACGGUGAAUACGUUCCCGGGUCUUGUACACACCGCCCGUCACACCACGAGAGUUUGUAACACCCGAAGCCGGUGGAGUAACCAUUUAUGGAGCUAGCCGUCGACUAACAGGA